CUCAAUGGUUAAUGUAAGUCUAGAUGAGGAAACUUCAAGCAUGGCUACCUUAGGUGAAGAAACUCUUAGCAUUCCCGCAAGCUUGGGUGAAGAAACUCCUAGCAUUCCCACAAGCUUGGAUGAAGAAACGCCUAGCGUUCCCACAACCUUGGGUGAAGAAACUCCUAGCAUUCCCACAACCUUGGGUGAAGAAAUUCUUACCAUUCCCUCAACCUUGGGCGAAGAAACUCCUAUCUAUCCUGUGACCUUGGCAGAAGAAACCCCUACCAUUACCAUAACCUUGGGCCAAGAAACUCCUGACUUACACACAACAUUGGGUGCAGAAACUCCAGUCAUUCCUUCAACCUUGGACAAAGAAACUCCUGUCAUUCCUCCAACCUUGGGUGAAGAAACUCCUGCCAUUCCUCCAACCUUGAGCGAUGAAAUUUCGACCAUCACUGUAACCCUGGGUCAGGAAACUCAGACCAUUCCUACAAUUGUCGCUGAGGAAACUACAACCGUUCUUGCAACCUUGGUUGAGGAAACUACAACUAUUCCUACAACCUUGCAUGAAGAAACUCUAGCUGUUCCCACAACCUUGGCUGAGAGAACUCCAACUAUUCCCACAACCUUGGGUGAGGAAACUGCGACUAUUCCCACCACCUUGGGCAAGGAAACUGAAAGUAUUCCCAAAAC
rnacentral:lncRNA from 1 species